GUGGAUGCAUGAUCCUUGAACUAGUGACGGCGUUAAGACAAAUUGGCAAGACACUGACGCAGGGUCGGCAACCCUUCGAGGUGGGCGAUGCUUGCAACCAACCAGGAACUCUGCACAAUAUGAAUCUGUCGAAAGAUUCAGAAGCCAAUAGCACCGUCAUGUGCAAUUGCACCCUUCACCUCAAUAAUGAUGGUUAUUGUCAUAUCACGUCACUAUAUCUAAAAACGCUCAGUCUUCCAGGCGAGCUCCCGCCUGAAAUGGCCAACCUUGCAUAUCUUGAAAUUCUGUAAGAAACUUUUCACGAUAUAUUUUAUUUGUGUUUCUAUGUGUAUUGAUUGUAGAAUCUCAAAGUAACUUUUAUCGACUAAUUUACAAAUUGUGGAAUGGAAAUACUUAAUAA